rnacentral:rRNA from 1 species
AACGAACGCUGGCGGCAUGCCUAACACAUGCAAGUCGAACGAUGCUUUCGGGCAUAGUGGCGCACGGGUGCGUAACGCGUGGGAAUCUGCCCUUGGGUUCGGAAUAACAGUGAGAAAUUGCUGCUAAUACCGGAUGAUGUCUUCGGACCAAAGAUUUAUCGCCCAGGGAUGAGCCCGCGUAGGAUUAGCUAGUUGGUGGGGUAAUGGCCUACCAAGGCGACGAUCCUUAGCUGGUCUGAGAGGAUGAUCAGCCACACUGGGACUGAGACACGGCCCAGACUCCUAAGGAGGGCAGCAGGGGGGAAAAUGGGAAAAGGGGCGCAAGCCUGAUCCAGCAAGGCCGGGUGGGUGAUGAAGGCCUUAGGGUUGUAAAGCUCUUUUCCCCGGGAUGAUAAUGACGGGCCCGGGAGAAAAAGCCCCGGCUACCUCCGU